rnacentral:rRNA from 1 species
UACAGAGGUCUCAAGCGUUGUUCGGAUUCAUUGGGCGUAAAGGGUGCGUAGGCGGCGCGGUAAGUCGGGUGUGAAAUCUCGGAGCUUAACUCCGGAAACUGCAUUCGAUACUGCCGUGCCUGAGGACUGGAGAGGAGACUGGAAUUUACGGUGUAGCGGUGAAAUGCGUAGAUAUCGUAAGGAAGACCAGUGGCGAAAGGCGGGUCUCUGGACAGUUCCUGACGGCUGGAGGCACGAAGGCCAGGGGAGCAAAACGGG